rnacentral:rRNA from 1 species
GGGGGGGGGGGGGGGGGGGGGGGGGGCGGGGAAGGCGAGGGGGGGGGCCGGGGGUGGGGGGGGUGCGCGGGUGGCGAACGGGUGAGUAACACGUGAGUAAGCUGCGCUUGGCGUGGGGAUAGCGUCAGGCACGUGGGGCUACUGCCGGAUAGGAGCUCCUGCUGCAUGGUGGGGGUUGGAAAGUUUCGGCGGUUGGGGAUGGACUGGCGUCUUAUCAGCUUGUUGGUGGGGUAGUGUCUGACAAAGUCUUUGGCUGGUAGCCGGACGGAGAGGGUGGCCGGACACACUGGGACGGAGAUACGGCCCAGACUCCUACGGGAGGCAGCAGUGGGGAAUAUUGCACAAUGGGCGGAAGCAUGAUGCAGGAACGCAGCGUGCGGGAUGACGGCCUUCGGGUUGUAAACCGCUUUCGCCUGUGACGAAGCGUGAGUGACGGUAAUGGGUAAAGAAGCACCGGCUAACUACGUG